rnacentral:lncRNA from 1 species
GAUUAAUUUUCCAAAAAUGAGAAAAAUGUGAUAAAACCUUAAAAAAGGACCAUUUCAUCGUUUGAUUCAGCUCACCAAAAAUUGAGUAAUGAUCAACAAUAAAGCAGUAUUCGAUCGUAUAUUGAUUAUAUCUUAAAGAGAUGAUCAAGUCGAAAAUACCAAACAACUUGUACAACAUGCUGAUUUCCUAACACUGUGAGAUUACAACUAAAUCUUUCACAAAAGGACACCUUCAAAGAUCAUAUGUUUGUAAUGUGGUGUUGUCACUCAAGGAUGAUUUCCAGGAACAUAAUUUCGUAAUUCAACUAAUAAUGGUUUGUAUAAGGCUUCCCUGGAUAUUGGCUGCCACACAAGGAUGACUUCCAAGAAUAUAAUUGAACUAUAAAGGUUGUAUAAAGAUUCCCUGUGAAUAUCAACUAAUUUGUUUAAAACAGAAUGAAUGCUGAAAUAGCUUUAGAAUGUGAAACUUAUGAUAUUCAACAAUAAAUAAAAAAUUUAGCAAAUCCAUUUAGAAAAUGAAAAACUUGUAAACGAUUAAGUGUAAUUCUGUAUAAUAAAAAAGUUUACAUUAAAAUUGAAAACCUUACAGUUAAAUUAACUAUG